UACGGGGGGGGCAAGCGUUGUUCGGAAUUACUGGGCGUAAAGGGCGUGUAGGCGGCCAACUAAGUCCGACGUGAAAUCCCCAGGCUUAACCUGGGAACUGCGUCGGAUACUGGAUGGCUUGAAUCCGGGAGAGGGAUGCGGAAUUCCAGGUGUAGCGGUGAAAUGCGUAGAUAUCUGGAGGAACACCGGUGGCGAAGGCGGCAUCCUGGACCGGCAUUGACGCUAAAGCGCGAAAGCCAGGGGAGCAAACCGG
rnacentral:rRNA from 1 species